GCCUGGGUGGCGAAAUUGGUAGACGCGCCAGACUCAAAAUCUGGUAUGGGUAACCAUGUGUGGGUUCGAGUCCCACCCCAGGCACCA
rnacentral:tRNA from 2 species